UACGAAGGGGGCGAGCGUUGUUCGGAUUUACUGGGCGUAAAGGGCGCGCAGGCGGCUUUGUUAGUCAGGCGUGAAAGCCCCGGGCUUAACCUGGGAACUGCGUUUGAUACGGCAGGGCUAGAGUUCGGGAGAGGAGAGUGGAAUUCCCAGUGUAGAGGUGAAAUUCGUAGAUAUUGGGAAGAACACCGGUGGCGAAGGCGGCUCUCUGGACCGAUACUGACGCUGAGGCGCGAAAGCGUGGGGAGCAAACAGG
rnacentral:rRNA from 1 species